AUGAAUCUGCUAUAUUGGAACUGUCGAGGGUUAGGCAAUGCCCCGACAGUUCAAGAGUUACGCGAUCUUUCGCAAAAGUUUGCCCCUAGACUGCUAUGUGUUGUUGAAACUCAAAUUGGUAGAGAUAGAGCUGAAAAUCUUGCUAGCGGUUUAGGUUUUGAUAGUUCUUUCGCUAUGGAGGCCACUGGUAGGAGUGGCGGGCUUGUUAUGUUUUGGAAUAAUGAAAUAAAUAUUGAGGUUUUGGGUUACUCGAGGUAUCAUAUAGAUACUAAAGUUACUGACUUGGGUGGAGCCCCAUGGAGAUUCUCAUGUUUGUAUGGGGAAGCUCAAACCCACCUGAGACACAACACUUGGAACACGAUGAGGAAUAUGGCAUCUUUGAGUGAUCUACCCUGGUUAUGCCUUGGCGAUUUUAACGAGGUUCUGAGUUUGGAGGAAUACGACGGCAUAGGAAAGCGAAGCCAAAGCCAGAUACAAGGUUUUAGAGAUGUUGUCGAUAUAUGUGGCUUGAUUGACCUGGGUUUUUAG
rnacentral:rRNA from 1 species